UACGGGAGGCAGCAGUGGGGAAUAUUGCACAAUGGGCGCAAGCCUGAUGCAGCCAUGCCGCGUGUAUGAAGAAGGCCUUCGGGUUGUAAAGUACUUUCAGUCGUGAGGAAGGUGUUAAGGUUAAUAACCUUAGCAAUUGACGUUAGCGACAGAAGAAGCACCGGCUAACUCCGUGCCAGCAGCCGCGGUAAUACGGAGGGUGCGAGCGUUAAUCGGAAUUACUGGGCGUAAAGGGCACGCAGGCGGUUAAUUAAGUUGGAUGUGAAAUCCCCGGGCUUAACCUGGGAAUGGCAUUCAAGACUGGUUAGCUAGAGUCUUGUAGAGGGGGUUAGAAGUUCCAUGUGUAGCGGUGAAAUGCGUAGAGAUGUGGAGGAAUACCGGUGGCGAAGGCGGCCCCUGGACAAAGACUGACGCUCAUGUGCGAAAGCGUGGGGAGCAAACAGGAUUAGAUA
rnacentral:rRNA from 1 species